rnacentral:rRNA from 1 species
GAUGAACGCUGGCGGCGUGCCUAAUACAUGCAAGUCGAACGAACAGAUCAGGAGCUUGCGCCUCUGUCGUUAGCCGCACACGGGAGAGUAACACGUGGAUAACCUACCUAUCAGACUGGUAAAACUUCGGGAAACCGGCGCUAAUACCGUAUAAUAUAUUGAACCGCAGUGUGGAAUAGUGAAAUACGGUGUUGCUGGCACGUAUAGAUGGAUCCGCGCCGCAUUAGCUAGUUGGUAAGGUAACGGGUUACCAAGGCGACGAUGCGUAGCCGACGUGAGAGGGGGGUCGGCCACACUGGAGCUGAGCCGCGGUCCAGGGUCCUAAGGGAGGGAGCAGUAGGGAAUGUGAGGCAGUGGGCGGGAGCAUGACAGAGCAGCGCCGAGUGAGUGGUGGAGGUGUUCGGAUCGUGAAACCGUGUUAUGGGGGGAGAACAAAUGUGUAAGUAGCUAUGCACGUCGUGACGGUACCUGAUCAGAAAGCCACGGCUAACUACGUG